rnacentral:rRNA from 1 species
AGUGAACGCUGGCGGUAGGCCUAACACAUGCAAGUCGAACGGCAGCACAGUAAGAGCUUGCUCUUACGGGUGGCGAGUGGCGGACGGGUGAGGAAUACAUCGGAAUCUACUUUUUCGUGGGGGAUAACGUAGGGAAACUUACGCUAAUACCGCAUACGACCUACGGGUGAAAGCAGGGGAUCUUCGGACCUUGCGCGAUUGAAUGAGCCGAUGUCGGAUUAGCUAGUUGGCGGGGUAAAGGCCCACCAAGGCGACGAUCCGUAGCUGGUCUGAGAGGAUGAUAAGCCACACUGGAACUGAGACACGGUCCAGACUACUACGGGAGGCAGCAGUGGGGAAUAUUGGACAAUGGGCGCAAGCAUGAUCCAGCCAUACCGCGUGGGUGAAGAAGGCCUUCGGGUUGUAAAGACCUUUUGUUGGGAAAGAAAAGCAGCAGGUUAAUACCCAGCUGUUCUGACGGUACCCAAAGAAUAAGCACCGGCUAACUUCGUG